GGGUGACUGCGUACCUUUUGUAUAAUGGGUCAGCGACUUACAUUUUGUAGCGAGGUUAACCGUAUAGGGGAGCCGUAGGGAAACCGAGUCUUAACUGGGCGUCUAGUUGCAAGGUGUAGACCCGAAACCGGGUGAUCUAGCCAUGGGCAGGUUGAAGGUUGAGUAACAUCAACUGGAGGACCGAACCCACUAACGUUGCAAAGUUAGGGGAUGACCUGUGGCUGGGGGUGAAAGGCCAAUCAAACUCGGAGAUAGCUGGUUCUCCCCGAAAGCUAUUUAGGUAGCGCCUCGGACGAAUACUACUGGGGGUAGAGCACUGUUUGGGCUAGGGGUCAUCCCGACUUACCAACCCCAUGCAAACUCCGAAUACCAGUAAGUAAUAUCCGGGAGACACACGGCGGGUGCUAACGUCCGUCGUGAAGAGGGAAACAACCCAGACCGCCGGCUAAGGUCCCAAAGUUCUGGUUAAGUGGGAAACGAUGUGGGAAGGCUCAGACAGCUAGGAUGUUGGCUUAGAAGCAGCCAUCAUUUAAAGAAAGCGUAAUAGCUCACUAGUCGAGUCGGCCUGCGCGGAAGAUGUAACGGGGCUCAAACCAGGCACCGAAGCCGCGGAUUCACGCUAAGCGUGAGUGGUAGGGGAGCGUUCUGUAAGUCUGCGAAGGUGUGUCGAGAGGCAUGCUGGAGAUAUCAGAAGUGCGAAUGCUGACGUAAGUAACGAUAAAGGGGGUGAAAAGCCUCCUCGCCGGAAGACCAAGGGUUCCUGUCCAACGUUAAUCGGGGCAGGGUGAGUCGACCCCUAAGGCGAGGCCGAAAGGCGUAGUCGAUGGGAAGCAGGUUAAUAUUCCUGCACGACUUGUAAUUGCGAUGGGGGGACGGAGAAGGCUAGGUGGGCCAGGCGACGGUUGUCCUGGUGAAAGUGCGUAGGUGGUGUUUCUAGGCAAAUCCGGAGACACAACACUGAGACACGAGACGAACGCACCACGGUGCGGAAGCCAUUGAUGCCCUGCUUCCAGGAAAAGCCUCUAAGCUUCAGAUUACAAGUCAUCGUACCCCAAACCGACACAGGUGGUCGGGUAGAGAAUACCAAGGCGCUUGAGAGAACUCGGGUGAAGGAACUAGGCAAAAUAGUACCGUAACUUCGGGAGAAGGUACGCUCUUGUUGGUGAAGUCCCUUGCGGAUGGAGCUGACGGGAGUCGCAGUGACCAGAUGGCUGGGACUGUUUAUCAAAAACACAGCACUCUGCAAACACGAAAGUGGACGUAUAGGGUGUGACACCUGCCCGGUGCCGGAAGGUUAAUUGAUGGGGUUAGCGCAAGCGAAGCUCUUGAUCGAAGCCCCGGUAAACGGCGGCCGUAACUAUAACGGUCCUAAGGUAGCGAAAUUCCUUGUCGGGUAAGUUCCGACCUGCACGAAUGGUGUAACCAUGGCCAUGCUGUCUCCACCCGAGACUCAGUGAAAUCGAAUUCGCCGUGAAGAUGCGGUGUACCCGCGGCUAGACGGAAAGACCCCGUGAACCUUUACUACAGCUUGGCACUGAACAUUGAACCUACAUGUGUAGGAUAGGUGGGAGGCUUUGAAGGCGUGACGCCAGUUGCGCUGGAGCCGUCCUUGAAAUACCACCCUUGUAUGUUUGAUGUUCUAACGCAGGGCCCUGAAUCGGGCUCGCGGACAGUGCCUGGUGGGUAGUUUGACUGGGGCGGUCUCCUCCCAAAGAGUAACGGAGGAGCACGAAGGUUGGCUAAUCCUGGUCGGACAUCAGGAGGUUAGUGCAAUGGCAUAAGCCAGCUUAACUGCGAGACGGACAGGUCGAGCAGGUACGAAAGUAGGUCAUAGUGAUCCGGUGGUUCUGAAUGGAAGGGCCAUCGCUCAACGGAUAAAAGGUACUCCGGGGAUAACAGGCUGAUACCGCCCAAGAGUUCAUAUCGACGGCGGUGUUUGGCACCUCGAUGUCGGCUCAUCACAUCCUGGGGCUGAAGUCGGUCCCAAGGGUAUGGCUGUUCGCCAUUUAAAGUGGUACGCGAGCU
rnacentral:rRNA from 1 species